rnacentral:rRNA from 1 species
ACUCCUACGGGAGGCAGCAGUAGGGAAUCUUCCACAAUGGACGAAAGUCUGAUGGAGCAACGCCGCGUGAACGAUGAAGGCUUUCGGGUCGUAAAGUUCUGUUGUAAGGGAAGAACAAGUGCCGCAGGCAAUGGCGGCACCUUGACGGUACCUUGCGAGAAAGCCACGGCUAACUACGUGCCAGCAGCCGCGGUAAUACGUAGGUGGCAAGCGUUGUCCGGAAUUAUUGGGCGUAAAGCGCGCGCAGGCGGCCUCUUAAGUCUGAUGUGAAAGCCCCCCGGCUCAACCGGGGAGGGCCAUUGGAAACUGGGAGGCUUGAGUAUAGGAGAGAAGAGUGGAAUUCCACGUGUAGCGGUGAAAUGCGUAGAGAUGUGGAGGAACACCAGUGGCGAAGGCGACUCUUUGGCCUAUAACUGACGCUGAGGCGCGAAAGCGUGGGAGCAAACAGGAUUAGAUACCCCUGGUAGGAUACCCC